rnacentral:rRNA from 1 species
CCUACGGGAGGCUGCAGUCGAGAAUCAUUCACAAUGGGGGAAACCCUGAUGCAGCGACGCCGCGUGGGUGAAGAAGCGCCUCGGCGCGUAAAGCCCUGUCAGCAGGGAAGAAAAUGACGGUACCUGAAGAAGAAGCCCCGGCUAACUACGUGCCAGCAGCCGCGGUAAUACGUAGGGGGCAAGCGUUAUCCGGAUUUACUGGGUGGAAAGGGGGCGCAGACGGCGAUGCAAGCCAGGAGUGAAAGCCCGGGGCCCAACCCCGGGACUGCUCUUGGAACUGCGUGGCUGGAGUGCAGGAGGGGCAGGCGGAAUUCCUGGUGUAGCGGUGAAAUGCGUAGAUAUCAGGAGGAACACCGGUGGCGAAGGCGGCCUGCUGGACUGCAACUGACGUUGAGGCCCGAAAGCGUGGGGAGCAAACAGGAUUAGAUACCCGUGUAGUC